rnacentral:rRNA from 1 species
UACAUACUGUGCGAACGUUAUUCGGAUUCACUGGGCUUAAAGGGUGCGUAGGUGGCAUGUUAAGUAGGGCGUGAAAAUCCCCCAGCUCAACUGGGGAACGUGCGUUCUAAACUAGGUGUGCUAGAGUGAGAUAGGGGUGUCCGGAACUGCCAGUGGAGCGGUGAAAUGUGUUGAUAUUGGCAGGAACGCCGGUGGCGAAAGCGGGACACUGGGUCUCAACUGACACUGAGGUGCGAAAGCUAGGGGAGCGAAC